CGCAGUUAUCCGUGGGGUACAGAAGAGAAAUGGGGAAGGGGGAAUACCAACAGGUGUUGAAGACAUGGUAUAAUCAUUACAUUGUAUUGUGCUCCUUCUUAACAAUGCUUAUUGAAACGUAUUUCAACAUUCUCUAAAUCACAGGUGCAGCUCUUACUUUUAUUCUAUUUCCUUCCCUGUGUACUCUAACCUCCUAUUCAAUCAUUCUUGUCCACCGGUCCAUAGGUCAUUCAGCAUUUAAUGCUUUCAGUUUGUCCUCACUUCCUCUGAUUACCACAUUAACUUUGUUACCUAUGGAUCAACAUUGUUUUUUCCCCUGACCUGAUCUUUCUAAACCAUUUGAAGAACACCCAACUAAAGAUAGCUUCCCUAUUGACCUUCUUUCAACUUUAUCAACCCUGUUUCCCUACCAUCCUUUGAGGAAAUGUGUGUAUAGAGAGAUGACCCAAGAGCUGAAACCUCUUCUCAAGGUCUUGCAUGCUUCCAAUGAAACAUAUUAGGUAAUGGGACACAAUAUGCCUUUCAGAGGCCAGUAGUAGGACAAGAUGUACAGAUUGAAAACGUACUGCUCAAUUUCUAACUAAAUGCUAGAGUCUGCAUGCAAACAUCAAACUACUCACCCACCAGCUGUCUUACAACCCACAACUUGCAGCAGAUCAUUCUCUAGAACAUAUUGGAUAUUAUCCCCCUAAUGUCAUCAUUUUGGAAAAUACACUUUUUAUUUUUAUUUUUUGUUCUCCACUUCUUGGUUGCUUUUUUAGUUAGUUUUUCAUGAAUUUGCACAGCCUUGUUUUUUGCAGCUGACCAUGUCUUCCCCUCAAAGGUCAAGUAAUAGGUCUCCCUCAUAAAUAAGCUGCCUUGUUGGUUUUUAAGUUUCAAGUUAAGAGGAAAUUAUGGGAAGCUGCUAAUUUAUAGCAUAUCCUACAGACUGGUCUAUGCAUCUCACUAGAUGUAAUGCCUGUGAGGAGUUUGUGCUGGAAACAGGAGCGUAACUAGGAAUCGCAGGGUCCCUUAUAUGCUCUCUCUGAUACAUACACUAUCAUACACUCAUUGACACACACUCUGAUUUGAAACUCACCAUGACCAUGGUAGUUCCAACAUUGGCCCCAUGUUUAAUAGAAGUCUGAACAAAAGCUAUUUUAAACCUCCUAAAUAGAUGAAGUCACAAAACGCUUAACAGCUAAUAUUUGAUUAAUAGUUGAAAUCAAGUACUUGAAUUAAUUAUUUUAACAGUGAGAGUAUGAUAAACUUUCCCCAUUACUCAAAUUACAGAGGGAUUAUCUAAACAUCCUGAUCCUAUACAGACCCCAUGGAAUGAUGGGCCCGGUCGCAGCUGCUUCCACCACUGGCUAGAAGGAAAAAAGCUUGGCACAUCAUGCAUUCGAGCACCAGCAGGAACUUCUGCCCCAUGCUAAGAUGCAAUUUCUUUUAUAAAAGAAAGGUAAAGAAUAACCAUCCAUGAUUUAAUCUAAAAAACCCUCCCAGAUUACUUGACCCAGAUCGGGAAGAGUCAGAAGCUUCAGAUUGGGAAGGGGCUGUGUUCAGAGAUGAUCUAUCUUCUACAAAUGAAAAUUUGUUACAAUCUGACCUUGAUAACAAAACCGUUGAUUCCUUAAUUUAUUUAGUCAUAUCCACUUUGGGUUUGCAAGAACUCCAAGAGGAACAACCAGGAACACGUAAGCACUUUGUGAAUUUGAAAAAGAGAUCUACAGUCUUCCCUCUUCAUAAAACAAAGUCAUUAUGGAGGAAUGGCAGAAGACAGAGAAAAGACAGUCCGCGCAAGGAAAAAUUCUGAGACUGUAUUCAUUCAAGAAGUCAAAUUAUGAGUCAUGGGAUAAUGCCCCAAAAGCAGAUGCAGCAGUGGUCAUAAUGGCAAAGGACCGGAGCCAGAUAGCUAAGCCGAGUGGAUGUACACAGAGAUGGCUCUUGCUCUUUUGAUUGAAUUUCUGGGAAAUAAACCUGGUAACAAAGCUACUACAACAGUGAUGUGACUGCUUGCAGGGAAAUGGAGUGCACUUGCAGACACCAAGCCUGAAAUUGACCCUUGGUAGCCCAGUAUGUAACAUUAUGAACUACUCAUGGAGGACCUGGUUAGAGGCUCUAGAUCUCACCGCUGUACUAGCAAACCGAACGGCAGUCUCGCUACCCCUUAUCCCGGUCCCCAUUGGACUUGCAUCAACCUACGUAACUUCAUUACUCUCACCUGACUUCUCCCAUUUGCAGAACGCAGCAAGAUGGCAGAUACACCUUUGCCUGCCAUUUAUCCAGCACUGUUCAGUCUAAAGAUUGGAGGCAAAAAAGGUUUGAGGCAAUAUUUGAGGGUUUCUGGGCAGCAUUGGAUGCAUAAGCUCAACCUAAGCCUCUCCUAUCUUGGGAAGAUGACCAGAGUUGUGAGGGACAUGGAGGAGGGGGGCCUUCUUCAGGCUCAGCAGGUCCAUGAGCACCCAUCACCAUUCAUGUUGGCCCUCCUGGCCCGAAGGGGCAUAUACCCAAAGCAUUCACCAUAACGACAGGCGAAUGAUCGCCUUCCAUAACAACAGAACCUUCUGUGAUUUCCAAACUGGGAAGGACUUUGCAAGUCUGUGGCCUGAAGAUGCUGGCCUGGGGCUGGGGAAAUGUCUUAUCUUGUUCCCAUUUUGCGGUUUCCCCGAGAUACCAGUAGGUUUUUCCUUUCUCAUGUGUUAUAGCAUUAUCUCCCAAUAACUCCUUUCCAAUCAAGCCUAGUUUGUUUUUAAUGUUAAUGUUUAACGUUUUUAAUGCAUAGCCUGCAUUUGUUAGCAUUUACAUAAGAUGGUGCACUAAUCUCAAUGCCACACAAUUGUAAACCUGGGUAUAAUGUUGUAACGGAUCGCCUGGCACCCCGACUGGGUACCUCCGUUGAAGGAUGCUUCUAGCGCUUCCUGAGGACUCCAAGCACUCUGGCAGACACCACAAUCACCAAACCGGAGAAACAAAUAAAUUCUCCCAAGCAUAUGAAUGCUUUAGACAGUUGAAUAGGAACCAUACGAAUAGGUUU
rnacentral:lncRNA from 1 species